rnacentral:lncRNA from 1 species
AUAGCAACAGCAGCGUAGCUGAACAUCUUACGGAUGGCCCAGGGCUCCAAAGGCUCGUUUCCUAAGUGAGAGAGAGCCUGGCUGAAGCUGUAUUACCAUUCAUUCUCCAGCCUCCGAAGUCUCAAAGCAUCACUUCCACCAUACUCUAACUGUCAAGACAAACACAAAGGCCCAGAAACUGCCAGACUGUCUUCUGAAGUGGCUAUAAUAUUUACACUCCCAUCAGCAGUGUAGAAGGGGUCUCACUAUGUUGUCUGGAGUGCUGUGGUGGAGUGGAGUGGCUAUUCACAGAGCCUGUUCUGCUGGGACACAGAAUCACUUGCUCCAUCUCAUACAUUGAUGAUGAUUAAUUUGUAUGUGUACCUUCCAAAAAAGAUGGUUGUGUUUGAAUGGAGGCCUUCUGGACAGGAAAAUUGCAAAGUACAAUUAACAUUUGAGUCUGUCUGAGUCAUGAAGAAAUGGAGAUUACUGAAAAUAAUUCAUUUUGGUAUCUUCUUACAUCCUGAGAGACUAAUCUUUCCAAGUUCAUCUGAGGCUCCUCUUCUCCAUGACAACCUCAUCCAGGGAUUUCUUCCUGUCCUGGUGUUUUAUGACAUCAUCCUCAUCUCGCUUGUAAGGAUAAUAGCCUUCCUCCAAACCUCACACACUUUUGGAGGAGAUCACUUUUUUUAAAGUGCAUGGAAAUGUUUUGAAACAGUGAAAUCUAUAAUGAUAGGUUUCAUAAUUCUAACAUCCACACCAUAUGAAUCACAUCCUUCCUGAGAUAAUGAGCACACAAUUGCCUGGAUACCUGAAGGAAUGGAGACAGCGGCAGAAAACACUGCAGAGAGGUGGAAACAUCCGUUAAUAUUUUAAAAUCCCAUUACUGCUACCAACAAUAAUAAUGGAUGCAUAGAAAUAGAUCUGGAUUAGCUGAGCUUGAAACAGUCCAUCUCACACACACACAAAAGAAUUUCAGAUACAGUGAACCCACAUGUUGAAGCUUUCUAGUAUAAUAAAAAUUUCAACUGUUCUGUUGAAUCAUCUGCCUGAUUGGAGGCUACAGAAAAGAUGUCAUCUUAGGAGUGCUUGCUCUGAGUGAGGCUCAUCUUCAAAUCUGAAUGACCACAAGGAGAUUUGAUUAUACAUGUGAACACCUCAGAAGGCACAGCCCACCCAGAAGGCAGACAGAAGAAGCUGCCAGGAAGACUGUGAAAUCUUCAUGCCCAAGGAUCCCUAAAAUUAGGAGCAACAACCACUUGGCUCAGACGGUUUAUGGAGGCAAAGGUUUGGAUGGGAUUAGAGAUUUCUAAAUGUGAGUUCGUGUCCUCUGCCAGACCACCUUACUUCCACCAUUCCUCAGCAAAUCAAGAAAAACAGGAGAAAAGACAUGCCUUUCCAUAAGUUAAAUCUAUUCUGUUUUAAUUCUAUAUUAUAUCUGCUGUACAACUUCUUUUGUUUGUAACACCAUAUUGUUGCUAGUAACUGGAAAUUAAUUUUCACAUGCCUCAGCUUAGAAAAAUAAAAAGCAGCCCUGCAUCAAUCCCAA